UACGUACUUCCUUCGUUCGGAAUUACUUGUCACAAAAAUAGAUGAAUUUAUAACUAAAAUAUAUCUAGAUACAUUAUUUUUUGAACGAGUAAUUUCGAACGGAGGAAGUACAUA
rnacentral:pre_miRNA from 1 species